rnacentral:rRNA from 1 species
GGGGGGGGGGGGGGGGGGGGGGGGGGGGGGGGGGGGGGGGGGGGGGGAGGGGGGGGGGGCGCUUGGGGGGGGCGGGGGGCGGGAUGGGGGGGACUGCAGCGGGCCGUACUUUGUGGUGGGGGGGCGCCGAGGGGACCCUGCGCUACGCGCGCCGACGACGUACGGGAGAACGCAAGGGAUCCUAGGGACUUCGGCCGACGAAUGCACCGAUGUCGGAUUAGCUAGUUGGCGGUGUAAAGGCCACCCAAGUCGACGAUCCGUAGCUGGUCUGAGAGGAUGAUCAGCCACACUGGAACUGAGACACGGUCCAGACUCCUACGGGAGGCAGCAGUGGGGAAUAUUGGACAAUGGGCGCAAGCCUGAUCCAGCCAUACCGCGUGGGUGAAGAAGGCCUUCGGGUUGUAAAGCCCUUUUGUUGGGAAAGAAAAGCAGCAGGUUAAUACCCCGCUGUUCUGACGGUACCCAAAGAAUAAGCACCGGCUAACUUCGUG